CACCCUUAGAUAUCUCUGGCUGUUGAACAAUAUCUUUCGGCAUAAUCAUAUCUCUAGUAAGUAUUUGUAGUUUAUUAUUUUAUCUUAUAGUAGUUGUAAUUUUAUAAAUUUCUGUAUAAUAACUUAUUCUAAUCGUGCUAUAUCUAAUAUGUGAUUCUAUGUUAUCUGCACCCCCUACAAUUGAUAUCAGAGCAAUGUUAUUUAAAAAAUGUACAAGUAGAUAUGUGUUAAUUAUGAGAAAUGUUAGAAAUGUUAACUAAUUGUUAAUAUUAUUAAUUAUGUUAACUAUGUUGUUAUUUAUUUGUUAAAUAUGAGAAGACCAUUUAAAAAUACACAGGCUUUUAAAAAGGUUAAAAGAAUUCUAAAUAGUAAUUAUUCAGAAUAUAAGAAAUUAAUAAAACAAAGGAAAACCCCAUAGAUUAGCUUACUUAAUUACCUUAAUACCUAGCAAUGAGGCAAAAUUAAUAAUUCAUUUAAAAUCUAGAAGAAUGAGAAACAUACCACCUAAUUAUGAUAAAAUCAGAUUUCUGUAUCCACCAAAAUAUUAUAAAUAUUAUACAGAUGAAUAACAUAACAAAAUCACAAAAAUAUAAAGAACUAAAACAAAUAAUAUCUGAAAAACGAAGAGAAUUAAAAAUUAAGAAAAGAAAGACUACAAUAUAACAUAAUUGUUGGAGUAUGCCAAAAAUCAAAAGCACCA
rnacentral:lncRNA from 1 species